ensembl:lncRNA
UUAAGGUGCCACCAGACUCCUUGUUGUCUUAGCAGCUAAAAGCAACAGAGGGUCCUGUGGCACCUUUAAGACUAACAGACGUAUUGGGAGCAUAAGCUUUCGUGCAUCUGAAGAAGUGAGGUUCUUACCCACGAAAGCUUAUGCUCCCAAUACUUCUGUUAGUCUUAAAGGUGCCCCAGGACCCUCUGUUGCUUUUUACAGAUUCAGACUAACACGGCUACCCCUCUGAUUCUUAGCAGCUAGUUCCUCUUUUCAAAGCCAGAUCGUUAAUUAAGAUGCUGAGCAGGUAGAAGGAAGUAAACUCCAAAAAUGUGACCACAUGGAACCUCCCAUUCAGGGUAAGUGAGCUGGGGAGGGAGGUGAAAUCUGCAUCUGCCUCAUCAAGAAGCUAGUAUAAAUAGCCUUGCAUCUGGCACUCCUCCCCAGUACAGGUGUGUCCUUAACAGAGGCAGAGGGACUAGCAAAGCGCAUCAUGGCAGCCCUUAUCUCCACACUGCAAUUGCUCUUCCUUGGGGCUCUGAUUGCCCCCGUCUAUUUGCAGGAUCCUUGUCAACUUAUCCAGAAUACCACUAAUCCUGGCUCUUACAAUCUAUCUGUGAACCCUGCUGUCUACAUGGCAAACACAAACUACAGUGUAACCAUCAGUGGAGUCGUGGACGGCAGCUUGGUUAUCCUGCAGGCCCUCAAUUCCCAGAACUCCUUUGUGGGCCAGUGGGAAGAUCCAGUUGCGAGCUGCAGCAACAGCCUAUCAGUAGGGCAGCAAAAUAUCACCAACAAAGCCACAGCCACAGUACAAUGGAGAUCUCCAACCAGUGGGUCAGCCCCUGUGGAAAUAAGGGUUCUUGUGACUUUUUCCAAUAACUCUACCCUUCCCCAGCUCCAGAAGACAACCCUGAAUACAGCAUCUACAGCCUCCUCUGGAUCAACGACAAAGACACCCACCACACCUGCCAGCACCACCAGUUCCGUCUCCACGGUGCAGGCCAGCUCCUUCCUCCUGGCAGCCGUCCACCUGCUGUCACUCUUUGUUACUGGCAAACUGUUCUCCUAGUGGGAAACAGCACCCCAGUCGAGCCACGCCCUUCCAUCUUUGCUUUCCUCCUGGAUGCAAGGGUGGAUGGCUGAUCUACUCAGGAAGUCUCUCUUCUACUGUUAUGUAUUUAAGAAUGAUGACUGCACUUUCUUUUACACCCUACUUGACCAGAGAGCUGACACCCAACCCCAUUGCCAGCAGCAGGAAACACAUGAAGAAAUUCUGGCAUGUACUUGUCUCAAGAGUUUUCAUGAGCUGAAAUGUUCUGUAGCCAGUCAGGAUUUGAUGCAUUCAUAGAGUGUAGAACAGCGUCGGGUAGAGUAGUCUGACAAAGGUGACUGAACAAGGUAACACCAGGGGUUCCUUCCACCCUGAUCUCCUACAGGUCUAUGAAGCGGAGACCGCAUGUGUCUACCACCAGGAGCGCUAAGCUGCUUUCCACAUUAGGGCACUGCAGGUUGAUAACGGGCAUGGGGAAGGGUCUUCCACAGCUGCGUUGCUGCAUUCCAUUUGCUGUGCACACUGGGAACGGAGCCAGUGUCUUUCGGAGUCAGUAGCUCCUGUAUGUGACUGAUCGACAGUUGCUUACAGGGCCCUGACUGGGAUGGGGCAUUGUAAAUCAGUCGGACUUGCAGAGAAUGGUGAAGGGCGAGGCAGACUUGCACACACUUCAGACUGAUUAAAGCCUGAAUGGGAUCCAAAUUUAAAUGAUGAUGAAAGAAGUAAAUGCACCCUGUUUUUCAGGCUAACCUGCCAUGUGGAGGCAAGUCCCUUCCGUAAAUCAAGCUAGAACCCCUGCUCGCAGGGCCUUCUCCAUGAAGGCCCCCUGACUGGAAUUCACUGCCAGUUUCAAUUCUUGGUCCAAGAUAACCUGUUGUACUUCAGGGCACAAUUUUUUCUCUGGUGUUUUCGGGCGGGACCCUGAGAUGAAGGAAGGGUUAGGUCUCUGAAACGAGUAGGAAAUUUUUCUUCAUAGACAGCAGAUGAUUUUUCACUGCCAUGUUGGCUGGAAUGUGCC